GACCAUGGUACCCCCUGCCCUGGACUCACAAGCACCAUAAUCUGGCCAACUGAGCAACAAGACUACGUUAUUAUACUCCUAUAGAUGAUGAUGACAAUGUCGUUCCCUCACAGAAGUUAGCAUCAAGAGUGGUCGUUCUUCAUUCUGCUCAUAAUCUUCCUUCUCUCUUUUCUUCAUUGGUUCAUAUCCACAGGUAACUGGUCUUGUAUAGAAACCUCAACACGGAUGUGUGUGUGUGUGUGUGUGUGUGUGUGGUGUGUGUGUGUGUGUGUGUGUGUGUACUACUAAGUGGACCAGAAAUCCAGAACCAGAAGUAUUGACAAAUAUAGUGACCAAUGGCAAAUUUGGAGAAGACCUGGUAAUCACUUGUAAGUAAUAUGAAAGAGGCUAUUUUAGGCUUUGGGUUGAGGUUAGAGUUAGCGUUGUCACUGGGUUUAUCAUUUGAGUUAGCAUUAUCACUAGGUUUAUAGUCAGAGUUAGCGUUGUCACUUGGCUUAUGG
ensembl:lncRNA